AACGAACGCUGGCGGCAUGCCUAACACAUGCAAGUCGAACGAUUGCCUUCGGGUGAUAGUGGCGCACGGGUGCGUAACGCGUGGGAAUCUGCCCUUAGGUUCGGAAUAACAGCUGGAAACGGCUGCUAAUGCCGGAUGAUAUCGCGAGAUCAAAGAUUUAUCGCCUGAGGAUGGGGCCGCGUUGGAUUAGGUAGUUGGUGGGGUAAAGGCCUACCAAGCCGACGAUCCAUAGCUGGUCUGAGAGGAUGAUCAGCCACACUGGGACUGAGACACGGCCCAGACUCCUACGGGAGGCAGCAGUGGGGAAUAUUGGACAAUGGGCGCAAGCCUGAUCCAGCAAUGCCGCGUGAGUGAUGAAGGCCCUAGGGUUGUAAAGCUCUUUUACCCGGGAAGAUAAUGACUGUACCGGGAGAAUAAGCCCCGGCUAACUCCGUG
rnacentral:rRNA from 1 species